rnacentral:lncRNA from 1 species
AGACAGAGACCUAGUCAACAGCGACUGCCUGCUCCCCACAGCAGGAGACAACUGCAGCUACAGGGAUGGGCCGUGUCUGGGUGCUUUUCUCUUUCUUGGUUCUUCUCAUUUUUUAAUGCUUUUCCCUUUUCCUUUCUUCUCUCAUCAGGGUUCUCCUUCAGCAACAAAUUUAAUAAAAGGGGAGGAGGUGUUGGAAAAACUUCCAGUUACAACUAGCAGCUACGAGCAGCUUGCAGUGCUUGAGGAAUCCGCAUUCCUUCAGGCCUGACAGGAACACCUGCAGGAUGGGGUGCUCUGCUCUAGGAGCCGUCCAUGAAACCACAUCCUCCGCACUGUGGUUAGCAUUGCCAAACUACCAGGCCAGGAAACCGAGUCAGGGGCUGCAGGGCAUGAAAUCCCUGACUCAAUAAGCCCUUCUCUUAGGGCCAAAGACCCUUUCAGAUUGCUUUCCACCACGACAGCAAUAUUUAGAGUUUCCUCACAGUGUGGUUACAUUAGGCAGAAGAUGAUUGGCUUAUGGAUAUUGUCUUGCUUAUGUAUGAUUGACAGGCACGUCCCACUCAAACCCUAUAACAGUUGUGUGCAUUCCAAAAAGAAACUGAGCUACUGGAGUCGAGUUGAGGUUUGUCACCAGUCAGUUCUCACCAGCUCCCGGAGUCUGUGUGUUGAGUCCGAAUGUCUCUUACCCCCCCACACCCCUGCGACUAAGUUAGCCAAGCAACUAAUUCACCACACCAGUGACAGGAACAUAUGCAAGACAGCAUAUGAGAAACCUAAACCAGCCAAUUAUGCUGGUCUUUAAUGAUACAGUAUAUAUGAACAAUUGUCAGAAAGAUUAUUAAAAUAGAUUUUCCAAGAGUAUUUACAUUACUGACAGACCUAAUAGACUCCUUAAAUGUGAGAAUUAAGAAAAAAGAUGAUAAAUAUCUUGUAACCUGUAAAAAUACAACUUAUUGUAUCAUUAGUUUAUUGCCAGCUAAUAUUUCAGAGCUAUGAUAUGCUGAGGUUAAUAUUCAGGCUUUAAAACAGGUGUAUGUCAAUUAACCAGACCUAAGCAAACUGCUGGUCUCAUAAUCCCUAAAGUGACUACUUUAAAUAUUAUUCCUUGCUUAUUCAAUUGUAGCCUUUGUGGCUAUACCUUAAAAUUUACAAUGUAUGGAUUUUCUUAAUGUUUGACUUAAAUUACUUCCAAAAUCCUUCAUGGUCAGAUAAGCUGAUGGAAGGAUGAGAACUAAGUUAUAAUGCUCUAGAAGACAAUGUAAUAAAUAAUGUGAAUGAGCCCUCUGCUAAUGAAAAUGUCUAUGUUACUAUGGCCAAAUGCAA